CCGACACGUUGAACGCAUAUUGCACAUCGUACAACAGUACGAUGUACACAUUUUUGAGCGCCUAUCUUUA
rnacentral:rRNA from 1 species